CUCUCUUUUUUCCUUUUUCUUUUUUUUUGCAAGUUUUCAAUUUUUGUUUUCUUUUCUUUAAUUUUUUUUUACAUUUAGAAUUUUUGUUUUUCCUAAAAUUUAUACAUUUAAAUUAAUUAAAAAAUUUAAUACACAUAUCAAAUUAAAUAUUAUGACAUGAGCUUUAAUUUAAUUUAUAAUAAUAUAUAAAAAAAAACUUUAAACUAAAAAGAAGAUAUUCAAAUUAAUUUUUUUAAAAUUAAUCUCUUUCUC
rnacentral:lncRNA from 1 species